CUUUAGUUCGCCCUGUAACAAAGCUAUGUCUUCUAGUUGAAGGCAGUGUUGAGUAGUUGUCAGUAUUUACAGACAUAUUGUUAUGCGUUGUAUCCACCAAGAUUUCAAGUGUUAGUUUAAAGAUAAUAGUAAAGUUUGACCUUGUUUAUUGGUAUUAUGUAAUUGCUUAUUGAUUAAUAACCAAUUAGAGGGCCGGUAUGUAGCGGCCAAACUCAGAUAGAUUUCUUAUUUUUUGUUUUGCCAAGUGAGGGCGCUGUUGCGGGAAUACGGGAGCUAAGCAAAAAGCAACAUGGCUUCAGCUCAAUCAUGUCAAUGACGACAGAAUUUGCAACCUGUGGAAUUCUUCGCCCAAAGCAUUAACUGGCCAAGGUUUAUUAAACGUCAAUCUGUGCCUAUACCUGAGCCUGACAAGUGUACGACUACCAAAACUGUCAGAAGUUGUACAAGACAAUAAAAUCUUCUGGAUCUGCGCACAGCA
rnacentral:lncRNA from 1 species